rnacentral:rRNA from 1 species
UGGGGAAUUUUGGACAAUGGACGCAAGUCUGAUCCAGCCAUUCCGCGUGCAGGAUGAAGGCCCUCGGGUUGUAAACUGCUUUUGUACGGAACGAAAAGGUCUCUAUUAAUACUAGGGGCUCAUGACGGUACCUCACCAGAAAGCCACGGCUAACUACGUGCCAGCAGCCGCGGUAAUACGUAGGUGGCAAGCGUUGUCCGGAAUUAUUGGGCGUAAAGCGCGCGCAGGCGGUCCUUUAAGUCUGAUGUG